CAGCAUCUCCGCCGUGAACAUGGCGUUGCCGCUCUUCUUCGGCCAGACCCACCCAAGACCGCAGCCGCCGCUUCUCACUCUUUCGGCUGUCAGCCACCGCCGUUGCUCUCCCCGGCUUUCCCGCUGUGUCUCCCCCAGCAGCCCGGCCCUUUUCCGGGAGCCUCCGCCCCUUUCCUUCAGCCUCCGCUGGCUCUGCAGCCCCGAGCCUCCGAGGAAGUCUCCUCGGCGGCGGCGCUGGCACCUUCUACCCGGUGCCACAGCCUCCGCUGCCGUCCCAGUGCCGGCCCUUCCCGGGGAUCGACGCCGGCCAGCGGCUGUGGUCGCCUACUCCCGGCUCGGGGCCGCCUUGAAGCCCGCGCUGGUCUGAUGCGCCGCCGCCCGCCUACUUGCUCGGGGAUGCGGCCCUCCAGCGACUGGGUGCCUGGAGGCGGUCUUCUGGACGCCGCGACGGGCGGCCUGUCCGGUGACCAAGGGCACGCACGCUGGGCCCAGCCUUGGCGAAGUGCGCGCGCGACUGCGCGGGUCUCUGUGCCUGGUGUGGCGGCUUCACAGCCUCAUCCAGACCCUGCGCGAGGCCGAAGCCGAAGGCGUACGGAACUGGCCGAGCGGCUACAGCCGUUUACCCAGGCUGCCUUUUGGGGGCUGGAGAGGACUCGGGAACGCGAGGCCGAGCGGGAGGCAGAGGCCCCACGCAGGCAGUGGAACGCUAGCAGGAGAUUGACGGCUGGAGGGUCAAGUGUGUGCGGGAGGUGGAGGAGAAGAAGCGAGAGCAGGAAGUCCGAGCAGCUGCUGAUGGCCUACUGUCUGAAGUGAGGAAAAAACAAGCGAUAGCAAAAGAAUGGUGGACAUUCUUCGGGCUUUGGAGAAGUUGAGGAAACUGAAGAAAGAGGCUGCAGUGAGGAAAGGGGUCUGUCCGCCAGUCUCAGCAGACGAGACUUUGGAGCAUCGUCUUCAGCGACUGAGAAAACUCAUGAAAAAGCGCUCUGAACUAUAGGAAGCUGAAGAGAGCCCUCAGAGUUAUGCUGGAAGGAGAACAAGAGGAAGAGAGGAAAAGAGAAUUCAAAAAGAAACAAAAGAAAAAGAGAACAUUUUACUUCAGAAACGUGAAAUGGAGUCAGAGUUUGGGGAUCCAGACGAGUUCCCACGUGCUCACCUCUUGGAGCCUUUCUGGCAGUUUUACCUCCAAGCCGAGCACUCCCUGCCAGCACUCAUCCAGAUCAGGCAUGAUUGGGAUCAGUGCCUGGUGCCAUCCGAUCAUCCCAAAGGCAACUUCGUUCACCAAGGAUGGGUCCUUCCACCGCUACCCAGCAACGACAUCUGGGCAACUGCUGUUAAGCUGCGUUAGUAAAGAUGCUCCAGUAGUGUGGUCCAGGCAAUGCUCUUUCCAGCUCUAAAUAUUAGCAAUGCUGCCAUCUUUUGCUGUAGGCUAAAUCACAACUUCUAAAUUCCAUGUGCAUUCCCCUACCCUGACGUUAGGCUUUCCUUCUUGCUCUGUGCUGGCCAGAGGUGCCUCUUGAAUCAGGAGAUUAAUGUGGUUCUUCAGGAAAGGACUCAGGUGAACUGAGGUUAUUACCACAGGCAGUGAAGCACCUCGGCUCACCAAAUUUGCCUCCGUUUUGAGGGGCUUGGUCCAGAGUGACUUGUUAAUUUACUCUGACUUCUUGUGUGGUGAUGGGUAAGUACACUGAAACACUCAGUACAGGUGUGCGGUGGGUAGAUUUCACAGCCCUUCCACUAAUAGUGAGUGUGAAGGCAAGCUUGAUGCAGAACUUCCUGACCUUUUCUAUCUGAAGAGCCCUUUGACUCCUAGGAAGAAAGGUCAAAAAGCAUGUUACCUUCAGUUUUGUUAAUCCCAGUUUUAGUGCAGUUUGGGGGGCUGCUAGUUAGGAAGAUGGCAGUGGCUGUAGGUUGGGUUGCCAGAAAAGAUGGUGGCCUAGUCUUAAUCAGGUGGAGAAUUUAGAAAAUCUGAAGAGUACCCAAAUUGGAUUGUGUUUUAAUGUACAAUGGCUGUUUUUUCCAUGUUAGAAAGAUUCUAAUAAAAGCACCCAUUUUUUAAAGUUUCUAAGGGCUUAGUUGUUUUUUUUCAGAAUCCCUAAGGAAAUUUCCCUAAUGGGAGUGAGACCUUAACCUCACUCAGUCACAUG